UACGUAGGGGGCUAGCGUUGUCCGGAAUCAUUGGGCGUAAAGCGCGUGUAGGCGGCUUUGCAAGUCGGGUGUGAAAGCCCUCAGCUCAACUGAGGAAGUGCGCCCGAAACUGCAGAGCUUGAGUGCCGGAGAGGGUGGCGGAAUUCCCCAAGUAGAGGUGAAAUUCGUAGAUAUGGGGAGGAACACCGGUGGCGAAGGCGGCCACCUGGACGGUAACUGACGCUGAGACGCGAAAGCGUGGGGAGCAAACAGG
rnacentral:rRNA from 1 species